rnacentral:rRNA from 1 species
CCUGAGAAACCCAAAAGAUCGAAUGGGGAGAUUCAUCGUCAGCGAUGCUGGUACCUGUGCGGUUCGUGAUGCCCGUGACUUCGGUAACGCGGCACGCGUCCGCAUGUUUUUCAUUGCCUGGCAUCGUCAACGUGCACUUCUCCCCUAGUAGGACGUCGCGACCCGUUGGGUGUCGGUCUACGGCCCGGGUGGGUGUCUGUCUCGUGUGCGCCUCGCGGCGUUACCGCGGAACAAACCCCCGGCUGYCCCGACCGGCUGCCCGGCGGUACUCGCACGGUAUCCGGCCGCAAAUAUUCGAACUGCGUCCGGCCCGUCGCAAGCGAGGAAAGUGUAUCCCGAAUGYACGGAUCUAAAGCCGUCAYCGGGCCUUGCCAGCUGUUGGUCGACGGUGUCCUGGGACUGGCCGUAAAAAUUAUGAUACCGGUCGGCGACGCUACUGCUUUGGGUACUUUCAGGACCCGUCUUGAAACACGGA